rnacentral:tRNA from 1 species
GUAGUUGUAGCUUACACUAAAGCACAGCACUGAAAAUGCUGAGACGAGCCACGCUCCAAAUACA